rnacentral:rRNA from 1 species
UGGGGAAUAUUGCACAAUGGGCGCAAGCCUGAUGCAGCCAUGCCGCGUGUAUGAAGAAGGCCUUCGGGUUGUAAAGUACUUUCAGCGAGGAGGAAGGCGUUGUGGUUAAUAACCGCAACGAUUGACGUUACUCGCAGAAGAAGCACCGGCUAACUCCGUGCCAGCAGCCGCGGUAAUACGGAGGGUGCAAGCGUUAAUCGGAAUUACUGGGCGUAAAGCGCACGCAGGCGGUCUGUCAAGUCGGAUGUGAAAUCCCCGGGCUCAACCUGGGAACUGCAUGCGAAACUGGCAGGCUAGAGUCUUGUAGAGGGGGGUAGAAUUCCAGGUGUAGCGGUGAAAUGCGUAGAGAUC